rnacentral:lncRNA from 1 species
CUGUCGUGAGCUUCUUUUUGAAUGAAGUACAGUAACCAUCCCUUCCUGUGCUGUACUGAGCGCGCGUCAAAUCUGCACUAGCUAGCCUACUACCGCCUCUGAUGCUGAGGGAUCCACACACACUGUGUACUAUAGCCUCAGUAGCCUGGAGAAUACAUGCGACUGUGUGUAAUGCAUCUUCUCAUUCUGAAGGAGAAGCACGGUAACCAUUUGAGCUCUGAACUGAAGGAAACCUAUCUAGGAGGUGGCCAGCAGAAGUCAAGCUCACUAACAAGUGCAGAGCCAGAGCUGGAAGUUUGGGGAUUCUGGGACAUAAAAAAAACAACAACUGAUCUGACACCAGGUCUAGAGCCUCAGCUGGACUCCUCUUAAAGAAUUAAAGUCAGACGCGUCUGACUGUGCGAUCCCGGUUUAGCUGACCUCUGUUAUGCUAUCUGUCCCACAUCCCACUGACGCACACAGGAGCUGGGCUAAUUUAGGGAUUUAAUGCUUGUUAUGAGGGCAGGAUGGGGUGAUGAAUAUAAAAGAAGGAAUGGACAGAAGGGGCAGAGUGUUCAUGAAUGAACGUGUGUCUCAAAGGAGCCUCAAGCUUUUUCAUCUUCAGCUGGUGAAGCCACUUCAACUUCUGUACCUAAGAAGAUCCAAGUGAACCGGAUUUUCCACUAACGGGAAUCAUGGAAUCAGUGUCUCACUCGUUCUCUCGCCCAGAAGGAUCCAUACCACGGAGAGCCCUGAAGGUCCCGGCUCGGGGGGCCUCCUCACAUUUUGUGGGAUCCACCAUCGUCAUCCUCUCCUCUUACGCUGUAGCGACUCUGGCUAUGAACUGUGGGAAAAAAAUCCAGGAUCAGAGAUUGGGCGCUUUAAAAAACUGAAGCAAGAACUUCAGGGCACUUUAGCUCUAAUGGCUCAUGAUGGAAUUGCCUUAUAACUCAGUUUAUGUGUAUGAGCUGAUGUUAACAGCCUCUGCUGGCUCUGCUGAAGAAAAAAUGACAACUAAUAGAGCUGAUAUGAUUAUGAUGUGUAAUGUUGUAAAGCCACAGGACAGCAUGCAUGGAUUCAGGUCAGCAUCUGAGGACCAUUGUUCCUGACGGUCAGCGGGAGCAGAAACACGUGUCAUUAAAUGUUGUCUCAAUGUAUUUAUUUUUGUUCUGGAUGUAACAUCUAGAGAGGUCCAUUACCAAAUAACUCUAAGUUAUUUAAAUGUCUCAUUUGUACUGUAAUUUAGAUAAUAAAAGCAUUCCAUAAUGGAAUUAUUUUUGUCUGUCCUUAUUUACAGAUUGCAGUGGGUUUUUUUAUAUACUAUAGCAUCUAUUCAUUUUUUGAAUUGUC